rnacentral:rRNA from 1 species
AAAACUAGCGGAUGAGCUGUGGAUAGGGGUGAAAGGCUAAACAAACUUGGAAAUAGCUGGUUCUCUCCGAAAACUAUUUAGGUAGUGCCUCAAGUAUUACCGUCGGGGGUAGAGCACUGUUUUGGCUAGGGGGUCAUGGCGACUUACCAAACCAAUGCAAACUCCGAAUACCGACGAGUACAGCUUGGGAGACAGAGCACCGGGUGCUAACGUCCGGACUCAAGAGGGAAACAACCCAGACCGCCAGCUAAGGUCCCUAAAAUUGGCUAAGUGGGAAACGAAGUGGGAAGGCUAAAACAGUCAGGAUGUUGGCUUAGAAGCAGCCAUCAUUUAAAGAAAGCGUAAUAGCUCACUGAUCGAGUCGUCCUGCGCGGAAGAUGUAACGGGGCUAAGCCAGUUACCGAAGCUGCGGAUUUGCACGCAAGUGCAAGUGGUAGGAGAGCGUUCUGUAAGCCUGUGAAGGUAGCUUGUAAAGGCUGCUGGAGGUAUCAGAAGUGCGAAUGCUGACAUGAGUAGCGUUAAAGGGGGUGAAAAGCCCCCUCGCCGUAAGCGCAAGGUUUUCUACGCAACGUUCAUCGGCGUAGAGUGAGUCGGCCCCUAAGGCGAGGCAGAGAUGCGUAGCUGAUGGGAAACAGGUCAAUAUUCCUGUACCGAUGUGUAGUGCGAUGUGGGGACGGAUCUUAAUAAGUCAUCCGGGUGUUGGAUAUCCCGGUUUAGCUGGAUGUAGGCGAUGGGUAGGCAAAUCCGCCCGUCAUAUACCGAGGCCAGAGAUCGAGCAAGCUUGCUUGUGAAGUGACCGAACGAGGUUCCAGGAAAAGCCACUAAGCUUCAGCUGCACACGACCGUACCGCAAACCGACACUGGUGCGCGAGAUGAGUAUUCUAAGGCGCUUGAGAGAACUCGGGAGAAGGAACUCGGCAAAUUGACACCGUAACUUCGGAAGAAGGUGUGCCCUAUUAGUGUGAAGCGAACAGCGGAGCAUGAAUGGGUUGCAAAGAAUCGGUGGCUGCGACUGUUUAUUAAAAACACAGCACUCUGCAAACACGAAAGUGGACGUAUAGGGUGUGACGCCUGCCCGGUGCUGGAAGAUUAAAUGAUGGGGUGCAAGCUCUUGAUUGAAGUCCCAGUAAACGGCGGCCGUAACAAUAACGGUCCUAAGGUAGCGAAAUUCCUUGUCGGGUAAGUUCCGACCUGCACGAAUGGCGUAACGAUGGCCACACUGUCUCCUCCCGAGACUCAGCGAAGUUGAAAUGUUUGUGAUGAUGCAAUCUCCCCGCGGAAAGACGGAAAGACCCCAUGAACCUUUACUGUAGCUUUGUAUUGGACUUUGAACAGAUCUGUGUAGGAUAGGUGGGAGGCUUUGAAGCAGGGUCGCUAGAUCUUGUGGAGCCAACGUUGAAAUACCACCCUGGUGUGUUUGAGGUUCUAACCUAGGUCCAGUAAG